GACGAAGACAGAUGAGGGAACAACAAGCAAUUGUAUUAGUUUAACACUCGGGAAGGAUGGGAAAGUCUUCGACGUUUCGGACCUUCGCUCUUUGACAGAAAGGAUUGAGAGAACAAAAAAAAUGGAGAGCGAAAACACAAACGUGAGAGAAAAAAAAUGUGUAGGGGUAAAUGGUUCAAAUCAUUCUACAAUUGUGUGUUUGCCUGCGUUUACGACUGGUGUGUCAUCUCAGAGCUUCUUAUACGUUUUGAGCGCUAACACACAUUUACUCGACUGCAUGAAUAUUCAUUCAUAGAUUCACACAGGCACGUAUAUACAAAUAUACACAAACACACAUUGCGCUUGUCUGUUUACUUGUAUCUCUGUAUCUGUCUGUCUCUCUCUCUCCCUCUCUCAUACGCGCGCACUUCUUUCUAAACCUGGUUGAAAUCAAGAACGACAGAUUGGUAGACAGGCGGUCAAAAAGCGAGAUAGAUAGAUAGAUAGAUAGAUAGAUAGAUAGAUAGAUAGAUAGAUAGACAGACAGACAGUUAGGUAGGUAGGUAGGUAGGUUGGUAGGUAGAUAGAUAGAUAUAUAGGUAGGUAGAUAGAUAGGUAGGUAGGUAGAUAGGUAGGUAGGUAGAUAGGUGGGUAGGUAGAUAGGUAGGUAGGUAGGUAGGUAGAUAGGUAGGUAGAUAGAUAGAUAGAUAAAUAGAUAGAUAGACAGGUAGGUAGGUAGAUAGAUAGAUAGAUAGAUAGAUAGAUAGGUAGGUAGGUAGGUAGGUAGAUAGAUAGGUAGACAGACAGACAAACAGGUAGGUAGGUAUGUAGAUAGAUAGAUAGAUAGAAUUUAUCGACAGGGCUGUGAAAAUGUUUCUGCGAAUGUAAAGAUGAAGGGAGAGUAGAAGCUAGGUUUAUACAGGUAUGUAGGUAUAUAGGUGAGACAAGCAGGUAGCUAUCACUAUGGUGUUGUUGUUGUUGUUGUUGUAGUUGCUGUCGUCUGUUGGUUGACAGCGUAGUCUAAAAGUAUAGAAGUACAGGUGGUGGUAUUGGUGGUGGUGUUACCGUUGCAUUGAUGUCGGUUACGUCUGUUAGUGUUGUUAUUGCUAUUGAUGUUUGGCGAUGUAACAGAUGUGAUGGUGAUGACAAUGAUAAUUGCAAUUACGGUGCCGUCAUCAUCGCUGGUGUUUUUAUUAUGUAUGACGUAUCGUUUCCGUGGGAUUUUUUUUUUUUUAUAUAAAGUGAAUGAAUGUUGCUUUUGUUGUUGUUGUUGUUGUUGUUGGAGAUGGUGGUGGUGUUGCUGCACUUUAGACCUCCACCACCAGAUCAGAUUCAGAUCUGACGGAGCAGAUUUAUUUUAUUGUAAUCAUAAGCUUUCCAACCGUGACAAUUCCAUCUCUUUUUUUUUUUUUUUUUUUUUUUUUUAGGGAUAUGUUUCGCGUAGAACUGAGGGUAAAUGGGAAUUAUCAGUUAUGAAAAUGGAUCCACACACACACACAAAUGUGUGUUAGAAAAUAACAACAGUUACAAUAAUAGCUAUUAUUAAUUAUUAUUAUUAUUAUUAUUAAUAUUAUUAUUAUUGUUAUUAUUAAUAUUAUUGUAUUUCCAUGGUGUUUUCCAAUGUAACGAGGGCUUCGUUUGAACCUGUCGAAUGCCCCACCCACACGCACGCACACUCACAAAACUGAAAGGUGUGUGAAUUGAGGGAGAUUUGGUUGCUACUUCUAGCAGAUCAAAUUACCACAUACAUAGAGAUACUCUCGUUAUGUUGUUUAAGAUGAUGUUUAAACGUUACAAGUGAUGUAACGGGUGUUUUGUUUAUUUUUCUUUUCGUUUUUGAGGGAUGGGACAGACUCUUAUACCUUGUAUUGUUUUUUCCUUCCUGAUUAUAUCAAUACUGUAGUAUAUCAGACCGAUAGAAUAAGUACUGGGCUUACAAAAGAAUAAGUCCCGGGGUCGAGUUGCUCGAUUAAAGGCGGUGCUCCAGCAUGGCCGCAGUCAAAUGACUGAAACAAGUAAAAGAGUAAAGAGAGUAUAUCAAUACUGUAGUGUUGUUGUUGGUGGUGGUGGUGCUAAUGUUGAUGUUGGUGGUGAAGAGGAGGCGAAGGCAGAAGAGGAUUUUGUUCUUCUCAAUGAUACUGCUAUUGAUGUUGUUGUUGUUGUUGUUGUUAUGGAUUGUGGUGACGAUGGUGGCGGCGGCAGCGGUGCAAGAGGUGAAUGCUGUUAAUGUGUUAUCAGAGGGAACUUAGCUGCUAUUUCUAGCAGAUCAAAUAACUACAUAAGGCCGCUUCCCCCCGUCGUAAACCCAAACCCGUAGGUGUUGAUUGUUUAUAACUUGUUGCUGGUUAAUAUUGAUGGCGGUGUUGUUGUUGAUGUUAUUAUUAAUCUUGUUGUUAACGUUAUUGUUGUUGUUGUUGUUGUUAAUAUUGCUGUUGUUGGUGAUAAUGUUGUUGUUGUUGUUGUUGGUGAUAAUGUUGCUGUUGUUAUUAAUAUUGUUGUUGUUGUUGGUGAUAAUGUUGCUGUUGUUAUUAAUAUUGUUGUUGUUGAUGUUGAUGUUAUUAUUAAUCUUGUUGUUGUUAAUAUUGUUGUUGUUGGUGUUGAUGAUAACGUUAUUAAUGUCGUUACCGUUAUUACUAAGGUUGUUGUUGUUAAUGAUUGUCUUGUUGUUAUUAACGUGGUUAAUGUUAUUGAUAUAAUUGUUGAUGACGAUGAUGAUGAUGACGAUGACGAUGAUGAUGAUGAUGGUGGUAGUACCAGUUACGCACUGGGGUCGAUGUAAUCGACUUAAUACCUAUGUCUGUCCUUGUUUGUCCCCUCUGUGUUUAGCCCCUUCUGGGUAAUAAAGAAAUAGGUAUUGAUAUUGCGUAUUGUCGUCGUUGUUGUUUGUUAUUAACGUUGUUGUUGUUUCUGUUAUUGCUUUUUGUUGUCAAUGUUGUAAUUAUGCAGCGACAAAAAAGAAAAAAAACACACCCACAGAAAAAUAAUCUGCUAAUAUUCCGAGUUAUCCAUUUACUUACGUCGCCAGCCUGCAAAUUUUCCACAGAACAUCAAAGCCCAGCUUCUUCCCUCGUCUCUUUCCAUUCAUUCAUCCAUUCAUACAUACAUAGGCAAGAAAUCUUGAAAUAAACUGAAUGAUGACAUACAUACAUGUAUGUGUGUAUGUAUAUAUAUAUA
rnacentral:lncRNA from 1 species